CCCCUCCUCGUCGCUGCUGUCCCCGCAGUCGUUGGUGUGGUCGCAGCGGUAGCUGUAGCGCACGCAGCGCCCGUUGCGGCACGUGAAGUCGGUGGGCUCGCACGUGUGGAAAGCUGCGGGGGCGAAGGGGAGCACUGAUAAUUACAGCUUGCAGUAGCCGUACAGAAGGCAGGGAUGUUGCUACGUGCCUUUGCCAAGUAUGAGGUCUUGCAGUAUCCACAAGAGAGAGUGUGUGUCUGCUGAGAGGUUCCACGGAACGAAGCCAGCGACUCACAGGAUUCUCCACCCAGUAGAUGAACUGGUCGCGGUCAUCAAAGUCAACAUCGUAGCCAUUGCUGAUUC